UACGUAGGGGGCAAGCGUUGUCCGGAAUUACUGGGCGUAAAGCGCAUGUAGGCGGAGGGGUGUGUCGAACGUGAAAGGCUGCGGCUCAACCGCAGAGCGCCGUUCGAAACUGCCUUUCUUGAGGGCCGAAGAGGAGAGUGGAAUUCCCGGUGUAGCGGUGAAAUGCGCAGAUAUCAGGAGGAACACCAGUGGCGAAGGCGGUUCUCUGGGAAUGUCCUGACGCUGAGGAGCGAAAGUGUGGGGAGCGAACAGG
rnacentral:rRNA from 1 species